UACGAAGGGGGCUAGCGUUGCUCGGAAUCACUGGGCGUAAAGCGCACGUAGGCGGAUUGCUAAGUCAGGGGUGAAAUCCUGGAGCUCAACUCCAGAACUGCCUUUGAUACUGGCGAUCUCGAGUCCGGGAGAGGUGAGUGGAACUGCGAGUGUAGAGGUGAAAUUCGUAGAUAUUCGCAAGAACACCAGUGGCGAAGGCGGCUCACUGGCCCGGUACUGACGCUGAGGUGCGAAAAGCGUGGGGAGCGAACAGG
rnacentral:rRNA from 1 species